rnacentral:lncRNA from 1 species
GGAGGAUCAUAAAAACUUUUGACUCUGUUUCUGGACCUGGCUGUUGAGCCUGACUGAAGGGGAGAAGCUAAGAACUGAUCCCGGUUAGCUUCUGUCCAUGGGUUGUGAUGUAAAAAUUCAGGUUUGGUUCUUCCAGGUUAACAUGGCUGCAAUCUAGACACGAAUCACUUCCUCUCCCCAGCACCGAACGAAAUAGACUACCUCAAAAUAGCAUAAAAAUCACCUUUGGAAGAACAGAGGGACUCUCCAGUACCCCCACAGAAAUGAAGGAUGGCAGCAGGAGCUCAGCUGUGCCCCACUGUCUGAGAUGGGCCAACGGCAGCAGCCGCCACAGUGAAUUCAGCCAUAACUACAGCCGAGUCUGAUCAUCGUCCUGAUGAAAUUACACUGAUCUAAUUUGCACGCUGUGAAGACAUUUGGCACUGGCUGGAUCGGAGCCUUGACAUCUUCAUUGGAACUCAAAGGACACUAAGAACCCAACGUUACAUUUCACAUUCUCUUCUGCCAGGCUGUGACAUUUUCUCCUCUUUAAAGGCAUUAUUGCAAGAACAUUUAAUUUGGGCUUGAUAUGUCUGCCAUUUUGCUGUGCAGAACACACUGAGCCAGAAGAGCUCAGCUGUAAUAAAGUUUGGCACCAUCAGCCCA